CAGAAAUCGAGUAUUAAAAGGAAGAAAAGGGAUGUCCUGGUCCCUGUAGCUAACAGAGUAUUCACGCUGUCCAGGAAGCCCAACAUCCCAGGGUGCUGGCUUCUCUCUUAGGACACCUGAGACAAGAGAUUGGAUCGUGUGAACUUCUUGUUCCAACAGCAGGGCUUGGCUUUGGCUUCUUUGCCGUGGACCAGGCAGAAGUCCACUGUGCGGGCUUCUCUUCUCCUGGAACUCCAGCAAGGGCAUGGAGAGAAGGCAGCUGGAAUGACGGCACCUGCCAGGCCCACGGAACUCAGGGUCCCUGCAAAUUUGGACCCCCAGCUUUGCAUCCUUCUUUUUUCUUCAAGUCUCCACUAGAAUUAGAUGGAACCUUACCUCAUUGCUGGCUCACCUGGUGAAGACUGGUGGUAUUCUGAUUGAGUGAGCCAGGGACUGUCGGGAAGCUGGGGUCUGAAUCCCAGCCCUACCCCUGCGCAGCUCUGUGACUCUGGGCUAGGCAUUGCCUUCUCUGUGCUUCUCCACUUGUGGAGGGGGCUAUCUCAUGCCCAGGCUUCAGGCUAUCAUAGAGCGUUCACCCCACAGGUUUUAGCUUAUGGUUCAAGGACACUGUAUUGGAACCCUGUCCAAGAUGCAGGACCGGGUGAAGAACUGAAGGGGCAUUUGAGACUGAUUGGGUGGGUUCUGUGCCUAGAUCCCCAGGCAAUUGCCAUGGGGAUCUGUCACUAAUAAAUGAAGCAUGUGGUUAUGAGUGUGUGACAGAGUGGGAAGAUGGGGGGAGAAGUGGGCCCCGCAUGAUAUGGAGCCGUGGGUGUCAGCUCCUGCAGUGGAUUUAACUGGUGUGAGGCGGAAGAUGGAAGGUGAACUAGGGUCACCCGUGAAGAACAGCUUCCCAGAGACCGUUCUCAACCCAAUCCCCUGCUCAGUCGGAGACUCUAAGAAGCAAAGGAAGGGUCUCCCGUACUCUCAGUGCAAGCAAACGCACUUACUGUCAGGGACCAUUUGCUUCCUGAAACUGCUCCAGAGCCAGCCAAUAGCACGCAGUCCUCCUCUUAAUUCUGGGGUAACCAGCAGUUCAUCCUCCCUCCCCAGCCUUCCUCGGAAGGCCCCUUCCCUUCUCCCUUCCCUCUUCCAUGGUCAUCUCGCUGUGAUUCCUGAUGUAUAGUACCCAGAGGCCGAUUGAGAAAUCCUCACAUUUGUAAAUUCAAAGGCCAUUGGGAGGUCAUGCCUGCCACGUCCCUGACAAGCACUUCAUCUACCAAAUGAAGUCGGGUUAGAACAUGUCCCCCUGGGAGAGUUGACGGGUUGUGCUGUGAUGUGGAAGGCCGAGGAGGGCACCAGAGCCGUCACAUCACGAGGCAGAAGUCAUUGUCCGUGGGUGCCAAGGCCCCCGGGCCUCUUCUGGCCUGCACGGCCCUGCCCGGACGGCCGGUUGAGAGAUGGGGCUUUGCUGCCUUUUAAGACACACGUCCAACGUCAGGUUGGCCGUCUUAGCCAUUUUAAGUGUGCAGUGGUGCCCGAGGGUUAUAAAUCCGUCACCACCAUCUCUCUCCGGAACUCUCUUCUUGCACAACUGAACCUCUGUACCCAACAGAUGCCCCAUCCGCUGCCCCCACCUGUGGCAGCCACUGCUCUACUUUCCAUCUCCUAGACUUUCCACUCGAGGGACCUCACCUAGGUGGACUCAUAUGGUGCUUGUCUGUUGCUGUUCUGGUUUCGUGUUUUGUUUUUGAAAUGGAAAUAUUUUUGCUGAUCUCGGUAAUUAAAAAAGGAACACACAGGUGUUGUUCUUAUAAACACUCAAACAGCACAGAGGGAUGCAGAGCAGAAGGUUGACGGCCCGACUCUCGUGCUCUCGGCACACUCCCCUCCACCUGCUUGUUCGAGGAACAAGUUACGUCCAUCCUGUCCCUUUUCUCCUAAAGUGUCAGCGUGCGUUUGCUGGGUACGGUGUCGCCAUUCUGCACCACAGUCACGGCUUCGUCGUCCUCCCUUCUCCCCGUGUUCUAGUGGUGUGUGUGGGAGUCCAGGUUGGUGGUGCCUUCCCUUGUCGAGUCUCCAGCCUCUUACCUCUGGAGCCCGUCCCCGCCCUGGCGUCUCUCUCUCUCUGGAUUGGUUUCCCUUUGUGCUGGGGAGAGAGCACAGGGCCCUGCAUACGCAUCACGUGCUAAGGUGACCUGUGCCCCAGCCCCAGUGCUGACUGUUUUGAAAACUGCAGACCCCCCGCUCCUUUGUGCCGUGAGGCCUGACGUUUCCUGUGAUUAGACUGUGGUCCUGCAUGCUUGGCUGGAGCGAUGCCCGUGUC
rnacentral:lncRNA from 1 species